ncrna:unclassified sequences L4-Archaeoglobi ribosomal protein leader
CUGACAAAUUCGUAUGGGUCGAUAUCGGAAUAGAUAGCCCGGUUCGCCUUGAAGUACUUUCGAAGGAAGUAUCAAUAGGAGAACGCGUUAAUGUCAG